rnacentral:lncRNA from 10 species
CUUUUAGUGAACUCUACAUCGCUGCAUGUUCCUGGGGCAACUGUCAAUCAAAGUGACUCCCUCAGCCUAGGGCUGGCCCAGGGCCUGAGAAGGCCGACAGGACUCCCUCUCACAUGGACUGCUGAGCAGAGCACUGUGAACUGAGGGUACAGGCAGCGCUCCCCCAUUCUAAUGUGUGUGCCAGGAGAGGUGGCCAGGUGCUCCUGCUGAGGGAGGCCUGCUGCAUGUCCUAAACCCUGAGCUAUUGUUUCUGGGCCUGGUCUUGCAGUCCUGUUUACUCUAUGAGCUACACAAAAGGCCUACAACAAAGUCCCUUUUGGCUUAAGUUAGCCAGCUUUGGUUCCGUCACUUAACCUAUUGACUUAGCCGUUGUGAAAGUUCCUGGCAGGUAGAAAGAUGGCGGGAGGCAGUGGACAAUGUUAGUGGAGGGGCCUGCCGAAGAGGUGUCUGGGAGAAGAGAAGGCCUGAACUGUGAAUUGAAUAAAACUAAGGGACCUUUUUGGACCAGCAAAAACAAGGCUCAGCAGCAGGAAGAAGGGGAAAUAGGGAUUCCAUAAGCCAAGCAGUUGGCACAUUGAAGUCCCUAAGGGGGCAAGGGAUGUCAAAGAAACAGGACAAGAUGUUGCUCUGUACUUGAGGAUUUGGAAACUGAAAAAAUGAGAAACCGAAAGAGGAAAACAUCCAAGGACUCAGUCAGGACUCCACCAAUGGUCACAGCAAAACAGUACUUUACAGGCACCCCUUAAAAGUGAAACAAAAAUUGUUUCCAGGACACUCUGGACAACAGAAGUCAGUAUUCAUUUACCGUUUCGUUCAUUCAUUCAGCUUCUAUGCAUCUGCUAAGCACCUGCCAUAGGCUGGACAUCGAGCUAGAUGCGGAGAUCACACCACCGUCUCUCCCCACACAUUAUUUGUCAUCCAACAAGGAAGAGGGAUGAGAAGACAAGAUCAUCACAGCCAGAGAAGCAGGUCAGAAAGCUGGCAGAGCAUGGCUGGAUUCUCUGCUCGAGGUCUCACAUGCCCAAAAUCAAGGUAUUGGCCGGCUGGGCUCUUGUGUGGAGGCUCUGGGGAAGAACCAUUCAGGCUGUGGACAGAAGACAGCUCCUUGUGGCUAUAGGACUGAGAGCCCUGCUUCCCGCCACCGGCCCUUCAAGCACAAGCCCUCCAGGCCUCAAAUCUCUCUGCCUUCCUCUUCUGCUUGUAAAGGCGCAUGUGAUUUCACUGGACCCACUUUCAAAACCCAGGAUAACUUCCCUAUUUUAAAGUCCAUUUACCUUAAUUAAUCUGCACAGCCACUUUGCCAUGUAAAGUAACAUAUUCGUGGGCAUGAAACCAGGGGGUGAAGGUCAUGUGGCUUUGAGAGCAGCACUCUCGGUGACACAUACUCAAUUCUGCUCCUCCAGUGCAAAAGCAGCCACUGACAAUAUGCAAAGGAAUACAUGCAGCCACAACAUGGAAGAAAUACGUGCAUCAACAACACAUAGCAGCGUGUGUAUGUAUGUGCGUAAAGGCCUUGGAACACAGCUGAAGAAUACUUUUCAAAUCCUUCACUGUUAUUUCCUCUAGGGAAGAGAGUGGAGGCCGAGGCUGGGAAUCCAGGAGCUGUUCCCAUUUUAUUCUGCAUACUUCCCUAUCUUCUGAUGACUUCACAAUGUAACCAUUAAGAAAAAUAAAAAUUGCUCAUGCAUUUACAUAUAUAAAUAUUAAUAUAUGUAAAGAAAACCUUAACCAAUAAUGAUGAUUAUAUCUGGGGAGGAGGGAGUGUAAGGAACUUGCUUUCUAAAUUACAUAUUCCUGCGAUCUUUGCUUUUUUGUUACAAUGAGUCUCUAUUGUUGUGAAUAGAAAAAUAUGUAUACUUUUCAUUGUACUGAUGUCGAUGAAGGAUUUAUGUAAAAAGCCAGAUACUAAAUAUCUCCAAAGUUCAUCCAUUCUGGACUAAUGCUCAUGUUACAACUUUAAGUUAAAAGUGCAAGAGGCAGGCGGAUCCUUUGAGGUCAGGAGUUUGAGACCAGCCUGGCCAACAUGGUGAAGCCCCAUCUCUACUACAAAAAUUAGCCAGGUGUGGAGGCGGGUGCCUGUAAUCCCAGCU